AUCAUAUCUCUGUAUGUGUAGAAAUUGAUAAAGUCAAUCCGUACGGUCUUUGAUAAUUAUCCACUAAUUGGUGAAGGAAUUCUUGACUCCCAUGCCUCAGAAGAUAGUAGGAAUACCCAACAGAGAAAGGAUCCUUUUGAUAUUUUUGGACAGAAGAAUUGAAAUGUUUGAGUAUCUCCAAUGGCUUCCCACAAAUUAAAGUGAAUGAAGGACAUGCAGUUAUGUAUUAUUUAUUUGCUACUUAUAAAAUUUGACGAGUCAAUAUCAAAUAAUUAAUGACUGGUGGAUUUGUAUUUUAUGCCAGCCACAAGAAAUAGACUUGGCAUUGGUGGAUUUCAUCUAUGUUGUUGUAAAGAGUUUUCCAAUAUCAACCUAAUUACGGGCAACGGUCAAAUU